rnacentral:rRNA from 1 species
UACGUAGGGUGCAAGCGUUGUCCGGAAUCAUUGGGCGUAAAGAGCGUGUAGGCGGCCAGAAAAGUCCGCUGUGAAAACUCGAGGCUCAACUUCGAGCUGUCGGUGGAAACUUUCUGGCUAGAGUCCGGAAGAGGAGAAUGGAAUUCCUGGUGUAGCGGUGAAAUGCGCAGAUAUCAGGAAGAACACCCGUGGCGAAGGCGGUUCUCUGGGACGGUACUGACGCUGAGACGCGAAAGCGUGGGGAGCGAACAGG